rnacentral:rRNA from 1 species
CACGUAGGAGGCGAGCGUUGUCCGGAAUCAUUGGGCGUAAAGAGCUCGUAGGCGGUCUGUCGCGUCGGGUGUGAAAAUCCAGGGCUUAACCCUGGACCUGCAUUCGAUACGGGCAGACUAGAGUUCGGUAGGGGAGACUGGAAUUCCUGGUGUAGCGGUGAAAUGCGCAGAUAUCAGGAGGAACACCGGUGGCGAAGGCGGGUCUCUGGGCCGAUACUGCGUGAGGCACGAAAGCUAGGGGGAGCAAACAGG